AUGGCACUCCCUAAGCUCCUCCUGCUUCUCUUCGUCGGCGGUGCACUGUCACUCACCUUCUUCUCCGGUUCAGCAGAGGCCGGCGAGGUGGGCGUGUGCUACGGGAUGAUGGGCGACAACCUGCCGCAGCCGCCGGCGGUGGUGCAGCUGCUGAAGCAGCACGGCAUCACGAUGGUGAGGCUGUACGACGCCGACGCCGGAGGGCUGCGCGCGCUGGCCAACACCGGCAUCAAGGUGGGGGUGUCCCUGCCCAACGACAACAUACCGGACGCGGCGAGCAGCAUGUCGUACGCGGUGCGGUGGGUGCAGAGCAACGUGCAGGCGUACCCGGGCACGUGGAUCGACAGCGUGGCCGUCGGGAACGAGGUGUUCCACCAGGCGCCAUGGCUGACCCACCAGCUCCUCCCGGCCAUGAAGAACAUCCAGGCGGCGCUGGCCGGGGCCGGCCUGGGCGACGCGGUGAAGGUGGUGACGCCGAUCGCGCUGGACGCGCUCAAGGUGCCGUCGUUCCCGCCGUCCGUGGGCGAGUUCCGGGACGACAUCGCGUGGUCGGUGAUGCGGCCCAUGGUGGAUUUCCUGGAGCAGACCGGCUCCUACCUCACCUUCAACAUCUACCCCUACUUCGCCUACAAGUACGAUUCUCACGUCGACCCCGACUUCGCCUUCUUCCGCCCCAACAACGGCCAGCACGACCCGGGCACCGGCCUCACCUACUUCAACCUGUUCGACGCCAUGGUCGACGCCGUGUUCCAUGCCGUGGAGAAGCUGGGCAACUCCGGCGAGCAUACUCAUGGUAAUGGCAGGACGCGUCGACGUGUUGCCUCGUUGAUGAGGGUUCCAGAGUCGGGUGCCCCGGGCGGCAAAGGCAAAACGGGGGUGGCCUCGAACUCGAAGCUGGACGGCUCGGCUUCGACGGAGAACGCCCAGGCGUACAACUCCAACCUCAUCCGCAAGGUCCUGAGCGGCGCCGGCACGCCGUACAACCCCGACGCGGACAUCUCCGUCUACAUCUUCUCCCUCUUCAACGAGAACCUCAAGCCGGGCGACGACGACGAGCGCAACUUCGGCCUCUUCUACCCCAACGGCACGCAGGUGUACGACGUGAACUUCACCCGCCCCGGCCCCGGCCCCGGCCCCGGGGGGCCAAGCUGGUGCGUGGCGAACGCGGCGGUCGGGGACCGGAGGCUCCAGGACGCGCUGGACUACGCGUGCGGGAACGGGGCGGACUGCAGCGGCAUCCAGGCCGGCGGGUGGUGCUUCGAGCCCAACACCAGGGUCGCGCACGCCUCAUACGCGUUCAACGACUACUACCAGCGCAACGGCCGGUCCGUCCAGUCGUGUGACUUCGGCGGCUGCGGCUCCGUCGUCUACCAGCAGCCAAGCUUCGGCAACUGCGUGCUGCCACAAUGGCGUAAUGGACUCAAGAGGUUGGGAGGAGGACCAAACACGGGGCCGCCCUACGUGCACCUCGCUCAGGGAUAG
rnacentral:rRNA from 1 species